rnacentral:rRNA from 1 species
GAUGAACGCUGGCGGCGUGCCUAAUACAUGCAAGUCGAGCGAACAGACGAUGAGCUUGCUCCUCUGACGUUAGCGGCGGACGGGUGAGUAACACGUGGAUAACCUACCUAUAAGACUGGGAUAACUUCGGGAAACCGGAUCUAAUACCGGAUAAUAUAUUGAACCGCAUGGUUCAAUAGUUAAAGACGGUUUUGCUGUCACUUAUAGAUGGAUCCGCGCCGCAUUAGCUAGUUGGUAAGGUAACGGCUUACCAAGGCAACGAUGCGUAGCCGACCUGAGAGGGUGAUCGGCCACACUGGAACUGAGACACGCUCCAGACUCCUACGGGAGGCAGCAGUAGGGAAUCUUCCGCAAUGGGCGAAAGCCUGACGGAGCAACGCCGCGUGAGUGAUGAAGGUCUUCGGAUCGUAAAACUCUGUUAUUAGGGAAGAACAAAUGUGUAAGUAACUAUGCACGUCUUGACGGUACCUAAUCAGAAAGCCCCGGCUAACUACGUG